AUUGAACGCUGGCGGCAGGCCUAACACAUGCAAUUCGAGCGAGCGGCGGACGGGUGAGUAAUGCCUAGGAAUCUGCCUGGUAGUGGGGGAUAACGUCCGGAAACGGGCGAUAAUACAGCAUACCAUCAGAUGAACCCAUAUGGGAUUAGGUUGUAGGUGAGGUAAAGGCUCAACUAGGCGACGAUCCCUAGCUGGUCUGAGAGGAUGAUCAGCCACACUGGGACGGAGACACGGCCCAGACUCCGACGGGAGUCAGCCGUGGGUAAUAUUGCACUAUGGGCGCAAGCCUGAUGCAUCCAGUCCGCUUGUAUGAAGAAGGCCUUCGGUUUUUAAAGUACUUUCAGUCGGGAGGCGUUACCGACAGAAGAAGCACCGGCUAACUCCGGGCCAGCAGCCGCGGUAAUAC
rnacentral:rRNA from 1 species